AGAGUUUGAUCCUGGCUCAGGACGAACGCUGGCGGCGUGCCUAAUACAUGCAAGUCGAACGAAGCUUUCUUUCACCGAAUGCUUGCAUUCACCGAAAGAAGCUUAGUGGCGAACGGGUGAGUAACACGUAGGCAACCUACCCAAAGAGGGGGAUAACACUUGGAAACAGGUGCUAAUACCGCAUAACCAUGAACACCGCAUGAUGUUCGUGUAAAAGACGGCUUUUGCUGUCACUUUUGGAUGGGCCUGCGGCGUAUUAACUUGUUGGUGGGGUAACGGCCUACCAAGGUGAUGAUACGUAGCCGAACUGAGAGGUUGAUCGGCCACAUUGGGACUGAGACACGGCCCAAACUCCUACGGGAGGCAGCAGUAGGGAAUCUUCCACAAUGGACGAAAGUCUGAUGGAGCAACGCCGCGUGAAUGAAGAAGGCCUUCGGGUCGUAAAAUUCUGUUGUCAGAGAAGAAUGUGCGUGAGAGUAACUGUUCACGUAUUGACGGUAUCUGACCAGAAAGCCACGGCUAACUACGUGCCAGCAGCCGCGGUAAUACGUAGGUGGCAAGCGUUGUCCGGAUUUAUUGGGCGUAAAGGGAACGCAGGCGGUCUUUUAAGUCUGAUGUGAAAGCCUUCGGCUUAACCGAAGUAGUGCAUUGGAAACUGGAAGACUUGAGUGCAGAAGAGGAGAGUGGAACUCCAUGUGUAGCGGUGAAAUGCGUAGAUAUAUGGAAGAACACCAGUGGCGAAAGCGGCUCUCUGGUCUGUAACUGACGCUGAGGUUCGAAAGCGUGGGUAGCAAACAGGAUUAGAUACCCUGGUAGUCCACGCCGUAAACGAUGAGUGCUAAGUGUUGGAGGGCUUCCGCCCUUCAGUGCUGCAGCUAACGCAUUAAGCACUCCGCCUGGGGAGUACGGUCGCAAGACUGAAACUCAAAGGAAUUGACGGGGGCCCGCACAAGCGGUGGAGCAUGUGGUUUAAUUCGAAGCAACGCGAAGAACCUUACCAGGUCUUGACAUCUUCUGACAAUUCCAGAGAUGGAACGUUCCCUUCGGGGACAGAAUGACAGGUGGUGCAUGGUUGUCGUCAGCUCGUGUCGUGAGAUGUUGGGUUAAGUCCCGCAACGAGCGCAACCCUUAUUGUCAGUUGCCAUCAUUAAGUUGGGCACUCUGGCGAUACUGCCGGUGACAAACCGGAGGAAGGUGGGGAUGACGUCAAAUCAUCAUGCCCCUUAUGACCUGGGCUACACACGUGCUACAAUGGACGGUACAACGAGUCGCUAACCCGCGAGGGCAAGCUAAUCUCUUAAAGCCGUUCUCAGUUCGGAUUGCAGGCUGCAACUCGCCUGCAUGAAGUCGGAAUCGCUAGUAAUCGCGAAUCAGCAUGUCGCGGUGAAUACGUUCCCGGGCCUUGUACACACCGCCCGUCACACCAUGAGAGUUUGUAACACCCAAAGUCGGUGGGGUAACCUUUUGGAGCCAGCCGCCUAAGGUGGGACAGAUGAUUGGGGUGAAGUCGUAACAAGGUA
rnacentral:rRNA from 1 species